AGAUUGGCCUGCGAGAGGAUCUUGAAGUUUACAGCCACGUUCAGUUUCGUUCUGCAUCGGAGCAAUAAACAAACGACGGGGAAGGAAGAUGAUGCUGUUGGGGUUUUUCAGUGAACAAUCGCACACAUUUUCUUGCAAUUUUUUAUUUUUUUUUAAUUUAUGUAACGGUAAUUAGUUUUUGUGUGGGGGAGGGACUAGGACUUUUGAUUUUA
rnacentral:lncRNA from 1 species